GUUGGAACUCUCUGAGGGGCUUGACCUAUAAUUUAUACAGACGGGGAGAUGAAAAACCCAAGGCGAGGGUCUGUUUUGCUGCAUUUACUGAGAGGGAGAUUGGAAUUUCAUCUAAAAAGGUGGCCGGAGUCAGCCUGUAAGUGCCAACAGGCUAACGACAAUGAUCUCCGUUGAUUCAAACGGGAGGGUGUGUCAACAAGGGAUAAAGCACGCUGGAUGGAAUGUAAAAACUCUCGAAGCUUUGGAGAUUCCUAUGUGCACAUCUGGUUUAAACUCUGUGAGGGGUAUCACCCUGUAAUUCAAAUUUACAGACGGAGGGAGGAAAGCCCAAGGCAAGGCUCUAUUUUACUGUACUGACGGGUGCAGCCUACCCACAAAUCGUCUCUCUGUCUGCCGGAUCUCCUUUUCCAAAAACCCGGGCUGGAGAGAACCGAAAUAAAUUGCCUAUGCGGUAUCGUAAUUCAUCAGUGGACUGAGACAUUCACGCAUUGCAGCAGAGGAUUAUGUUAGUCUAUCC